rnacentral:rRNA from 1 species
UACGAAGGAUCCAAGCGUUAUCCGGAUUUAUUGGGUUUAAAGGGUGCGUAGGCGGAAUGAUAAGUCAGUGGUGAAAGCCUGCAGCUUAACUGCAGAACUGCCAUUGAUACUGUCAAUCUUGAGUACAUUUGAUGUGGGCGGAAUGUGUCAUGUAGCGGUGAAAUGCUUAGAUAUGACACAGAACACCGAUUGCGAAGGCAGCUCACAAAACUGUAACUGACGCUGAGGCACGAAAGCGUGGGUAUCAAACAGG